rnacentral:lncRNA from 1 species
AGGUGAGUGAUGGAGGAGUUCUUCAAUGCCCACACACCGUACUGCAUUUUUAUUCACCUACCUCCAGCUUUGACCGUCUUGAUCACUACAUGGCUAUUAUAAAUUUGCACUCGGUCAUGAUCGAUGUUAGUGUUCACCUGUCUUGCCUAGGCUAGGCAGCUACAUUCGAGCGGUUGUGUCGUCGCUUCACAACAUGAAAGGGUUACUCCCUGAAUGCUAGCCAUGUAUGAGCGCACGCCAUUGAUUAACUAGUAUGAGGUAGGAUUGUGAGGUAUCAGAAUUUUGACACAGCAGUAAACGAAAGGAGGUAUCUGCACAAGGGCUUCUAUGUGUACGACUAGUUCAUGCGCAGUUAUAGAGGUGAUAGAUGCUCCAUCCCAAGAGCAAGGAACGGGAAAAAAAGGGAAUCGAGCUAGGGUGAGAUUGCGGAGUUGUGUGGUGAGCGUGUUAAGAAUGUGUCGCGGAUGGAAGAGACGGGCUGGCUCGCUACGGUUUGAAUGAGCUUGUCAUAAUCAACGGUGCUGCUCCACCAGGGAGACCGUUAGGCCUGGAGCACAGUAGGACACUAGUGUUUGCAUGCUCACUUGAGCGCCCCGACCUUCAUGUGAUGAGAUCGUUGUGGUCACGCCCACCUCUCUAUGAAAUUGGGAUUAUAGGUAGUUCUCUCUCUCUCCCUCCCUCCCUCC